rnacentral:tRNA from 1 species
AGCCCCGGCGGGGUGAGGGGGCGGAGCCCCCUCUUUCGGGAAGGGGGAGCCCCCUCUUUCGGGAAGGGGCGGGGUGG